rnacentral:rRNA from 1 species
UCAGCAGCCGCGGUAAUUCCAGCUCUGUAAGCGUAUACCAAAGUUGUUGCAGUUAAAACGCUCGUAGUCGGAGGUUGGCGGGCAGUCCAGGGCGUCCUCACGGACGGAUCUGGAGUGGCCGCCUUUGUGGAUGGGGGCCCAGUGGAGCUUCAMUGCGUCACUGUGGUCGCUGCCACCGUUUACUGUGAAAAAAUUAGAGUGUUCAAAGCAGGCGUUUGCCAUGAAUACAUUAGCAUGGAAUAAUAGAAUAGGACCUGUUUCCUGUUUUGUUGGUUUGUGAGGAUCGGGUAAUGAUUAAGAGGGACGGUUGGGGGCAUUUGUAUUCCGGCGUCAGAGGUGAAAUUCUUGGAUUGGCGGAAGACAAACGGCUGCGAAAGCGUCUGCCAAGGACGUUUUCAUUGAUCAAGAACGAAAGUAAGGGGAUCGAAGACGAUCAGAUACCGUCGUAGUCUUUACUAUAAACGAUGAGGACUGGGGAUCGGGUAGGACUGUAUUUUGGCCUACCCGGCACCCUUCGGGAAACCAAAGUGUUUGCUUUCUGGGGGGAGUAUGGUCGCAAGGCUGAAACUUAAAGGAAUUGACGGAAGGGCAUCACCNAGUAUGRAGCCUGCGGCUUAAUUUGACUCAACACGAAU